UGGCCUCUCCUCUUCCUGUAUGGAAA
rnacentral:piRNA from 1 species